rnacentral:rRNA from 1 species
AUGUCCAGUUUUGCAGUACAGAUGGAACUAAGAAAGAGAACCAUCACCUAUAACCCCAAAAGAACCAGAUUUUGCAAACAACAUAGAGGAAGAAUGAAAGGAAAAUCCUGCCGAGGCAAUCAUAUUUAUUUUGGUAGAUAUGCUCUUCAAGCACUUGAACCCGCUUGGAUCACAGCGAGACAGAUCGAAGCAGGACGAAGAGCAAUAACACGAUAUGCACGUCGUGGUGGAAAAAUAUGGGUACGUAUAUUUCCCCACAAACCGGUUACACUAAGACCCACGGAAACACGUAUGGGCUCGGGAAAGGGGUCCCCCGAAUGUUGGGUAUCUAUUGUUAAACCUGGUCGUAUACUUUAUGAAAUGGGGGAAGUAUCUGAAACUGUACCUAGAGCAGCUAUCUCCAUAUCUGCUAGUAAAAUGCCCAUACGAAGUCACAGAUUUGUAUUCGAGUCAUAG